AAGGUUGGACAACAUGCCAGUAACUAUCAACAAAACUAUGAGCAACAUGCAGUAAUUGCUAACAUGGAAAAAGAAAAUAAAACUAUCAAAGACAUACAAGCAUUGCUCAAGGAAAGUGGCAUUAUAGUCAGGUUACAAACUGAGCGUUAUCAUGCUUUCGAGACAACACAGCACAGAUAAGUAUUUCCUUCAAAAUGCACAUGGAGAGAACAAGAAAUUGUGGAGGAACCAGCUCAUGAGGAUGAUGAGCGUACUGCUUCACAAAUAAAAAAAUUCUUCAUUCCAAGUAUGACCUGGACAUUUCAAUCACCAGCAUUAGAAGGAUGCAUCAGAUAAUGGGAUGGACCUUUGGCAGUACAAGUGUGUAACCAUGGCAACCGGAGUCGGGUGGGUGACAUCACUUCCGGCGCGACGGGAGACCCGUGACCGGAAGUGCCACUACGGGACGGCGGCCGGGAGCGUGGGGCACACACUGGAGGUGCAC